AGCCGGGUGGUGUAGCGGCCAAGCAUGGCGGGCUUUGGCCCCGCAGACAGGGGUUCGACUCCCCUCCCGGCUA
rnacentral:tRNA from 1 species